AGACGGGGGGGGCGAGCGUUGUUCGGAAUUACUGGGCGUAAAGGGCGCGCAGGCGGCUUGGGAAGUCUUGGGUGAAAGCCCCCAGCUCAACUGGGGAACGGCCUGAGAAACCACUAGGCUGGAGUGCUGGAGAGGGAAGCGGAAUUCCCGGUGGAGCGGUGAAAUGCGUAGAUAUCGGGAGGAACACCAGAGGCGAAGGCGGCUUCCUGGACAGACACUGACGCUGAGGCGCGAAAGCUAGGGGAGCAAACGGGAUUAGAAACCCCUGUAGUCC
rnacentral:rRNA from 1 species